rnacentral:rRNA from 1 species
UACGUAGGGGGCAAGCGUUGUCCGGAUUCAUUGGGCGUAAAGAGCUCGUAGGCGGCUUGGCAAGUCGAGUUUGAAAGCCCCCGGCUCAACUGGGGAGGGUCACUCGAUACUGAUCGACUUGAAGGCAGGAGAGGGAAGCGGAAUUCCCGGUGUAGUGGUGAAAUGCGUAGAUAUCGGGAGGAACACCAGUGGCGAAGGCGGCUUCCUGGCCUGUUCUUGACGCUGAGGCGCGAAAGCUAGGGGAGCAAACGGG